AGAGAGACCAGAGAGCCAGUCCAACCCAGUCCAUCACCUGGAGGCUGGAGAACCACGAGGCUGUUGCCUGUUCGUCCCCCUCUUCUGAGAGGUCCAGACCAUGAACAAUUGGUAUACUUCCUUCUUAUGAAAUCCCUCUCUAUAGCCCUGAGCUCAAGGCUUCACUGUGGAAUUCUACCAAACAUUUAACAAAGAACUAACACCAAUCUUUCUCAAACCUUUCAAAAAUUGAAGAGGGAACACUUACUAGUCAUUCUAUGGAGCUGGCAUUACCCUGAUACCAAAGCCACUACAA
rnacentral:lncRNA from 1 species